CUUCAAACCACUUACCUAAAAAAAGCUACAACAAACUUCCAUCUUUAAACUUCACCAUAAAAUCACCUUCAUCUUCACAUAACUCAUAACCUUGACCAUAACAACAUAAAAAUAAAACAACAACAUCAUGAAACUCCUUCUCUAAAACUCUUAAACUCACACUUCAACAAACAUUAAAACCACCCUCCAACAACACCUAUCACCUCCGACCGCCAUCUUAUUCCUCACCCAAAACCACUGUGAAACUCCAACAUCCUCCACCGGAAAAUAAACCUUCAACACACACUCACCAUUCUUCGACUUCUCUCAUCCACCAACUACCCGAAG
rnacentral:lncRNA from 1 species